rnacentral:rRNA from 1 species
GUCUAUGGCCAAACCACCCUGAACUCUCCCUAUCUUGUCUGAUCUCAGAAUCUAAGCAGGGUCAGACCUGGUUAGUACUUGGAUGGGAGGCAUAAUGUUUUUUUCACCAGCAGUGGCCAAGGGAGUCCCAGGUA